rnacentral:rRNA from 1 species
AUUGAACGCUGGCGGCAGGCCUAACACAUGCAAGUCGAGCGGAUGAAGGGAGCUUGCUCUUGUAUUCCGCGGCGGACGGGUGAGUAAUGCCCAGGAAUCUGCCUGGUAGUGGGGGAUAACGUCCGGACACGGGCGCUAAUACCGCAUCCGUCCAGAGGGUGAACGGGGUGGAUCUUCGGACCUCACGCUAUCAGAUGAGCCUAGGUCGGAUUAGCUAGUUGGUAGGGUAAAGGCCUACCAAGGCGACGAUCCGUAACUGGUCUGAGAGGCUGACCAGUCACACUGGAACUGAGACACGGUCCAGACUCCUACGGGAGGCAGCAGUAGGGAAUAUUCGACAAUGGGCGAAAGCCUGAUCCAGCCAUGCCGCGUGAGUGAAGAAGGUCUUCGGAUUGUAAAACUCUUUAAGUUGGGAAGAAGAGCAGUAAGUGAAUACCUUGCUGUUUUGACGUUACCAACAGAAAAAGCACCGGCUAACUUCGUG